UACGGAGGAUGCGAGCGUUAUCCGGAUUUAUUGGGUUUAAAGGGUGCGUAGGCGGAGUGCCAAGUCAGCGGUAAAAAUUCGGGGCUCAACCCCGUCGUGCCGUUGAAACUGGCGCCCUUGAGUGGGCGAGAAGUAUGCGGAAUGCGUGGUGUAGCGGUGAAAUGCAUAGAUAUCACGCGGAACCCCGAUUGCGAAGGCAGCAUACCGGCGCCCGACUGACGCUGAAGCACGAAAGCGUGGGUAUCGAACAGG
rnacentral:rRNA from 1 species